UAAUGUGAAAAAUUAAUAUAAGCACGUACGUGUAUGUGUGUGUGUGUAUAUGAUAUGCUAUUAUAUAUACUAUUAAUAUAUAGUAUCAAGUCAUUAGUACUAUUAGGUUUUCGGUUCUUGCAUGAAGCGAUGUGCGGUUAGGAUGAUAGUGAUUUUUUAUGGUUAAGUGGUUGGUUGAAUAGAAUAAUCUAAUGGUUGAAAUGGUCAAUGGGGCAGAUUUAAUAACGAAAAACUUGAUAGAGCACCAAGUGCUUGGUGCUAUUGAUAGUAGUACUAUAGUACAGUUGGAAGCUUGAGGUUG
rnacentral:lncRNA from 1 species